rnacentral:tRNA from 1 species
GCCUGGCUGGCUCAGUCAGUGGAGUGUCUGACUCUUGAUCUCAAGGUUGUGAGUUCAAGUCCCAUGUUGGGUA